GUGAGGAAUAUUGGACAAUGGGCGCAAGCCUGAUCCAGCCAUGCCGCGUGCAGGAAGACGCAUCUAUGGUGUGUAAACUGCUUUUGUACGGGAAGAAACACUCCCUCGUGAGGGAGCUUGACGGUACCGUAAGAAUAAGGAUCGGCUAACUCCGUGCCAGCAGCCGCGGUAAUACGGAGGAUCCAAGCGUUAUCCGGAAUCAUUGGGUUUAAAGGGUCCGUAGGCGGUUUAAUAAGUCAGUGGUGAAAGCCCAUCGCUCAAAGAUGGAACGGCCAUUGAUACUGUUAGACUUGAAUUACAAGGAAGUAACUAGAAUAUGUAGUGUAGCGGUGAAAUGCUUAGAUAUUACAUGGAAUACCAAUUGCGAAGGCAGGUUACUACUUGUGGAUUGACGCUGAUGGACGAAAGCGUGGGGAGCGAACAGGAUUAGAUACCCUGGUAGUCC
rnacentral:rRNA from 1 species